rnacentral:lncRNA from 1 species
UACAAAUAUGAAAUGAGAUUUUUGAUGAAUUAUUUAUACAUGUAGUAUAGAAGACUAUAGUUAUGACGUUUCCUGCAUGUGAUAUGAAAAAAAAUGAAAGUCGAAACUCAUUGUUCUUAUUUACAACACUCUGAUGAACAGAAAACUACAGAUUCCGGAAGCUGUACGCUAACAUGCUGUUACUCUUGAUCUAUUAAUAUCCCCCUCCCC